UACAGGGGGGGCAAGCGUUGUUCGGAAUUACUGGGCGUAAAGGGUUCGUAGGUGGCUUGCUAAGUCAGACGUGAAAUCCCUCAGCUUAACUGGGGAACUGCGUCUGAGACUGGCGAGCUUGAGGGUAGGAGAGGAAUGCGGAAUUCCAGGUGUAGCGGUGAAAUGCGUAGAUAUCUGGAGGAACACCGGUGGCGAAGGCGGCAUUCUGGACUACAUCUGACACUGAAGAACGAAAGCCAGGGGAGCAAACGGG
rnacentral:rRNA from 2 species